AACGAACGCUGGCGGCAGGCUUAACACAUGCAAGUCGAGCGCCCCGCAAGGGGAGCGGCAGACGGGUGAGUAACGCGUGGGAACGUACCCUUAUCUUUGGGAUAGCUCCGGGAAACUGGAAUCAAUACCGAACGUGCCCUUUGGGGGAAAGAUAUCUCGGAUAAGGAUCGGCCCGCGUUGGAGUAGCUGUUUGGUGGGGUAAAGGCCUACCAAGGCGACGAUUCAUAGCUGGUCUGAGAGGAUGAUCAGUCACAUUGGGACUGAGACACGGCCCAAACUCCUACGGGAGGCAGCAGUAGGGAAUAUUGGACGAUGAGCGCAAACCUAAUCCAGCCAUGCCGCGUGUGUGAUGAAGGCCUUAGGGUUGUAAAGCUCUUUCACCGGAGAAGAUAAUGACGGUAUCCGGAGAAGAAGCCCCGGCUAACUUCGUG
rnacentral:rRNA from 1 species